rnacentral:rRNA from 2 species
AGCAGCCACUCAUUAAAAGAGUGCGUAAUAGCUCACUGGUCGAGUGACUCUGCGCCGAAAAUUUAACGGGGCUAAACUAUACACCGAAGCUUGGGAUACAUCUAAUGUAUGGUAGGAGAGCGUUCUGUAUGGAGAGAAGUCGUAGCGAAAGCGGCGGUGGACUAUACAGAAGUGAGAAUGCCGGAAUAAGUAGCGAGAAUUAAGUGAGAAUCUUAAUGGCCGAAAGUCUAAGGUUUUUGGAGGAAGGUUCGUCCGCUCCAAGUAAGUCGGGAGCUAAGGUCAGGCCGAAAGGCGUAGCCGAUGCACAUACGGUUGAUAUUCCGUAACCAUCUGUAAUUUAAGCAAAGGGACACUUCAAAAGGGUGUGACCCGGGCGUUGGUUGACCCGGGCGUAAGGGACCGAAAUUAGAGUAGGGAAGCACACUUAGCUGAAGGCGAGAAAAGCUUUGCGUAUAGAAGCAGAUGCCCGUACCGCAAACCGACACAGGUGGACAGGAAGAGAAUUCUAAGGCCAGCGGGAGAAGGGUAGUUAAGGAACUCGGCAAAUUGACUCCGUAACUUCGGAAUAAGGAGUGCUCGAAAGAGCCGCAGAGAAUAGGCCCAGGCGACUGUUUAGCAAAAACACAGGUCUCUGCCAAAUCGAAAGAUGAAGUAUAGGGGCUGACACCUGCCCGGUGCCGGAAGGUUAAGAGGAGGAGUGAGAGCUCCGAAUUGAAGCCCCGGUAAACGGCGGCCGUAACUAUAACGGUCCUAAGGUAGCGAAAUUCCUUGUCGGGUAAGUUCCGACCCGCACGAAUGGUGUAACGAUCUGGGCACUGUCUCAACUACCCACCCGGCGAAAUUGUAGUACCGGUGAAGAUGCCGGUUACCUGCGGCAAGACGGAAAGACCCCAUGGAGCUUUACUGUAGCCUGAUAUUGGGUUUCGGAAAUCUAUGUACAGGAUAGGCGGGAGACUAGGAAACAUGAGCGUCAGCUUGUGUGGAGUCGAUGUUGGGAUACCGCCCUUAGGUUUCUGGAAUUCUAACCUGCGGCCGUGAAUCCGGUCGGGGGACAUUGUCAGGUGGGCAGUUUGACUGGGGCGGUCGCCUCCGAAAAGAUAACGGAGGCGCUCAAAGGUUAGCUCAGCACGGACGGAAACCGUGCCUCUGAGUGUAAACGCAAAAGCUAGCCUAACUGCGAGGGUGACGGCCCGAGCAGUAACGAAAGUUGGAGUUAGUGAUCCGGCGGUAUGUGAAUGGAAAUGCCGUCGCUCAACGGAUAAAAGCUACCCUGGGGAUAACAGGCUGAUCUCCCCCAAGAGUCCACAUCGACGGGGAGGUUUGGCACCUCGAUGUCGGCUCAUCACAUCCUGGGGCUGUAUUCGGUCCCAAGGGUUCGGCUGUUCGCCGAUUAAAGUGGUACGCGAGCUGGGUUCAGAACGUCGCGAGACAGUUCGGUCCCUAUCUGUCGUGGGCGCAGGAUAUUUGAGGAGCUCUGUCCUUAGUACGAGAGGACCGGGAUGGACGUACCUCUGGUGCACCAGUUGUCAUGCCAAUGGCACGGCUGGGCAGCUAUGUACGGAACGGAUAAACGCUGAAAGCAUCUAAGCGUGAAGCCGACUCCAAGAUUAGAUAUCCCAUCGUAUAACGAGUAAGACCCCUUGAAGACUACGAGGUUGAUAGGCUGCGUGUGUAAGUGCCGUGAGGCAUUCAGCUUGGCAGUACUAAUAGGUCGAGGGCUUGACCAC